AUUGAACGCUGGCGGCAGGCCUAACACAUGCAAGUCGAGCGGAUGAAGGGAGCUUGCUCCUGGAUUCAGCGGCGGACGGGUGAGUAAUGCCUAGGAAUCUGCCUGGUAGUGGGGGAUAACGUCCGGAAACGGGCGCUAAUACCGCAUACGUCCUGAGGGAGAAAGUGGGGGAUCUUCGGACCUCACGCUAUCAGAUGAGCCUAGGUCGGAUUAGCUAGUUGGUGGGGUAAAGGCCUACCAAGGCGACGAUCCGUAACUGGUUUGAGAGGAUGAUCAGUCACACUGGAACUGAGACACGGUCCAGACUCCUACGGGAGGCAGCAGUGGGGAAUAUUGGACAAUGGGCGAAAGCCUGAUCCAGCUAUGCCGCGUGUGUGAAGAAGGUCUUCGGAUUGUAAAGCACUUUAAGUUGGGAGGAAGGGCAGUAAGUUAAUACCUUGCUGUUUUGACGUUACCAACAGAAUAAGCACCGGCUAACUUCGUG
rnacentral:rRNA from 1 species